UACGAAGGGGGCUAGCGUUGCUCGGAAUCACUGGGCGUAAAGCGCACGUAGGCGGCUUUUUAAGUCAGGGGUGAAAUCCUGGAGCUCAACUCCAGAACUGCCUUUGAUACUGAGAAGCUUGAGUCCGGGAGAGGUGAGUGGAACUGCGAGUGUAGAGGUGAAAUUCGUAGAUAUUCGCAAGAACACCAGUGGCGAAGGCGGCUCACUGGCCCGGUACUGACGCUGAGGUGCGAAAGCGCGGGGAGCAAACGGG
rnacentral:rRNA from 1 species